rnacentral:ncRNA from 14 species
ACAACGGCUCUUUUAAGAGCCACUCACUUCUUCUGACGAGACACGG